rnacentral:pre_miRNA from 1 species
GCCAGUGUCAUUUUUGUGAUCUGCAGCUAGCAUUCUCAUUCCAGUUGGAUAGUCACAAAAGUGCCCAUUGGC